rnacentral:rRNA from 1 species
GACGAACGCUGGCGGCGUGCCUAAUACAUGCAAGUCGAACGCUUCUUUCCUCCCGAGUGCUUGCACUCAAUUGGAAAGAGGAGUGGCGGACGGGUGAGUAACACGUGGGUAACCUACCCAUCAGAGGGGGAUAACACUUGGAAACAGGUGCUAAUACCGCAUAACAGUUUAUGCCGCAUGGCAUAAGAGUGAAAGGCGCUUUCGGGUGUCGCUGAUGGAUGGACCCGCGGUGCAUUAGCUAGUUGGUGAGGUAACGGCUCACCAAGGCCACGAUGCAUAGCCGACCUGAGAGGGUGAUCGGCCACACUGGAACUGAGACACGGCCCAGACUCCUACGGGAGGCAGCAGUAGGGAAUCUUCGGCAAUAGACGAAAGUCUGACCGAGCAACGCCGCGUGAGUGAAGAAGGUGUUCGGAUCGUAAAACUCUGUUGUUAGAGAAGAACAAGGACGUUAGUAACUGAACGUCCCCUGACGGUAUCUAACCAGAAAGCCACGGCUAACUACGUG